CUCAUUUGAACUGUUUCGUCUUGCUAUGACACGACCAGCUCGAUUUUGCAUCGUUGUAAAACGUCAUUAUGCACCCAUCACCUCGGGAAAUCCUGGGGAAUGCAAAAUCCACAUGGCACAAAGUUAGACUUUUCCCGAGGCCCAGGGAAAGGUUGAACAUUAAAUUCCCAGGACUCUGGGGUAUGCCUAUCGACGACUUUUUAUGGAUUAUAUCUUGCAUACUUUGUCCGAGGGCACGUUUACACGCAUGUGAGGCUGAUUAAAAUUUCAAUAGUAAAGUUGAGACCAAUCUCGUUCCCAGAGUAUGCCUGUUCGCGGGUUAUAUUGAUAAUUCUCUUUUCGCGUAUGUUCCCGCGUAAUUCUCGCAAAAAACACGCAUUAAUGUGUCGGCAACUUUGAUGAUCGCGGCAUCCAAUCAAAUAACGAUUUCGAUUCGAUUUCCCCAGAGUCAUGCCACUACACAACCCCGCGAACAGGCAUACUCUGGGAACGAGAUUGAGACUGUCUUGUUGAACAAGUUGUUAGUAAAUAUUGCGGCAUAUUAUAAUAUCUAAAAAUUUAAACGUUUUCUUUUGUAUCAUAAUUUUAAGGUGGCUCCAUCAUAGAUAUCUUAUAUACUAGACAGCGCAUCUCUUUUAGUAAAAUUGAAGCCAAGAAUAUUCCAGCGGUUACCCCCAUUUGAAUAGAUGGCGGCCAUGUUGGUAGUUCCCACUCGCUAAUAAACGCUUAAAAACAACAAUAACUUUCAUCAUUUGAAUAGUUUAAAAAUGUAUUUGGAAUAGGUUUAACUUAAUGUUUAAGUUCCCUGUUUAAGAAAUAGAAAACAUACGAGUCUUCUCAUUUCACGCGGGAAUAUCCCGAGUCUGCAAUCACGGCUUCAAUUUUUGAAUUGCAGAAUAAUUAGAUGCACUAUCUAGUGUAUGUAAGAUAUCUAUGGGCCCAUGCUCCAUACAAUUUCUUGAAAAGUGUAACCCCAAUUUUUGUUUUAUUAAAGGUAUAUGGCAAUAUAUUUUUUAUUAUUUCAUUUUAAAGAACUUUUAAAAUU
rnacentral:lncRNA from 1 species